AUUGAACGCUGGCGGCAGGCCUAACACAUGCAAGUCGAACGAGUGGCGGACGGGUGAGUAAUGUCUGGGAAACUGCCUUAUGGAGGGGGAUAACUACUGGAAACGGUAGCUAAUACCGCAUACCAUCGGAUGUGCCCAGAUGGGAUUAGCUAGUUGGUGGGGUAACGGCUCACCAAGCCGACGAUCCCUAGCUGGUCUGAGAGGAUGGCCAGCCACACUGGGACUGAGACACGGUCCAGACUCCUCCGGGAGGCAGCAGUGGGGAAUAUUGCGCAAUGGGGGCAAACCUGAUGCAGCAAUGCCGCGUGUAUGAAGAAGGCCUUCGGGUUGUAAAGUACUUUCAGCAGGGAGGCGUUACCUGCAGAAGAAGCACCGGCUAACUCCGUGCCAGCAGCCGCGGUAAUUC
rnacentral:rRNA from 1 species